UUGAGGUCCCACCGAGAUUUGAACUCGGAUCGCUGGAUUCAAAGUCCAGAGUGCUAACCAUUACACCAUGGGACCGCCUAUACGCGCUGCUGACCCAAAUCGGUAUAACAAUCUACCACGGGUCGCUCUCCGACACGCUCGUUCCGCUGCUACAUUGCAGGGCAUCUCGGGUUUCAGAUACCGCGGGCGUGAACAUUUUAAUGGAGCCAAAAUAUAUUUUAAACAAAAAAAAAGUCCGAGCCGAUUUGAUCGCGGAGAUAAUAUUACCAAAGCGUUGUUUUACGCGCGCAAAUGAAAUGGCAGUGUCGCGGUCAUUGGAUGAUGAGGAUGAUGAUGCUGAUGAUAUUGAUGAAUCGGUUGGAAAUGUUCAUACAAGAGUUGCAUCGCCUGAAUGUAAAAAAAGAAAAAUGUCACGAAGUUCAGCAUCAGCCGUGGUCUAUUCACUGCUGGAUGAAGCCCGACAGCCCCAAACCUCCGCCGUCAUCUCUCACGACGGAGAAAAUGCUAUACGCUACUUGGUUGGGCUGCCCUGCAGAAGCGCUUUCGCCAGCUGGAAGACGUUGAACCUUCAUGAACCAAGUUGUGGAGAAUUAUGGCCAAAGACAGCACAUGGGUCUGCUACCCAAAGCAAGCCAUGAGUAUAGUUUAUAAUAGCACACAUCUGUUUGCCGAGGUUGGCAGUGGCAGAACUUCGUGGCUUGGUGGCCAUUUUACCAAACAACUGCAGAGUUGGGAGGUAAAAUGGUUGCCACGGCCGCGGGGAUUUUGUUGGUGGGGCGCAGCCCUGUUUUUUUUGUUUUUUUAUUUUCAGAUGUCACUUGUUCACAUAUCUUUAAAUACAAGUUCACGGAACAGGCUGGUGCAUCCCUACCUAUGUAGUGCAGGGGUAAAUCUGGGAGCCAGCCAUGUUUUUUAAUCUCACAAGUGCAAGAGGUCCAGGGUU